GUGUCAGCAGCCGCGGUAAAACGUAGGAGGCGAGCGUUAUCCGGAUUUACUGGGCGUAAAGCGCACGCAGGUGGUUUCGUUAGUCGGACAUGAAAGCUCCUGGCUUAACUGGGAGAGGUGGUUCGAUACUGCGAGACUUGAGGUUGGGAGAGGGACGUGGAAUUCCCGGUGUAGUGGUGGAAUGCGUAGAUAUCGGGAGGAACACCAGUGGCGCAAGCGGCGUCCUGGCCCACACCUGACGCUGAGGUGCGAAAGCGUGGGGAGCAAACAGGAUUAGAAACCCCCGUAGUCC
rnacentral:rRNA from 1 species